rnacentral:tRNA from 1 species
GGUGAGGUGGCCGAGUUGGUUAUGGCGCCAGGUUAAGGCUUCUACUCCUUAGCAUUGCUGAGCAAUCAGCUUCCUGGUCACGAAAGUGGCGCGGGUUCGAGUCCCGUCCUCAUCA